ACGAGAAAGAAUAAUAAUAGUUAAAAUCUUAGGGCUUAGUUUGAGUUAAACUUUUUGUCUCAUUCCUCAGAUAGUCUUUCUACAUGAAAUCAUUUCCUCUGUUUUAUGGGUAAAGAUACUGGUGUAGAGAGUCUAAACACAUUGCCCAUACUAUAAAAUUUCCAUAGUAUAUAAAUAGGUCUAGAAGAAGUACAUUGGAAAAAUUCAUAAAGAACUUUGGAGUUCCCGUAACAGAAUAAAGAUUUGGGACAAAGAGAAAGGCUUCAUUUGGAGAUGCUGUAUAUCAUGUUCUGUUUAGGGAAGUAUUGAGCCAUGUGACAUGAAAUCACAGGAUUCAUGGAAUGAAGUCACCUGUAUGGGUCCAGAGAUCAAUCUGAAGUGGAACAUUGAAGCCAGAGGAUAGCAGUUGAAUGAAUGCCACAUGGGGGAGUUUAGAUCUUACUGUUGCCAGUUAGUUUAGAUCUUAUUGUUGAUGGAACGAUGAUAGCACUUUAAAGGGAGAACUAAGUAGAUGAGAUCUCUGUUUAAGAUAAGCAGUUUUAACAUGUAGGGCCAGAUUGAGAUUAGUGGUAGGAAAACCCAUUAGAUAGGUGUUGAGAAACUUCAGAUGAAAGAAAAUGGUAUUGCAGGUUAAAAAUUAGUAGAAUGCGAAGAUUUUUAAGGCAGAAUGAGUAGAGCUUAAUUAGUAACCAUGACAAGUUUAAGGUGAGUUAUUAGGUAGAGAUGGGGGAACAUAAGGAAAAAUAUGGUGGGAGACUGAAAUGACAAAUGAUUUUUAAUUUUGAGACAGUAAUGAUGAGUUUAGUGUAUUUGUGGGAUGUCUAGUAAACAAUUGAAAGUAUAGGACAUGUACUUUUCCGAAAUAAUUUUUACUAUAUUUAUGGGUAUUUUUAGUUUCUGUACUUGCCAAAGAAGCAGCUCCUUAAUAUUUUUAUAUAUUUAAACUUUUUCUCUAUGUUUUUUAGUCAGUUAAAUGAAAAGCCCUUACCUGAAGGCUGGGAAAUGAGAUUCACAGUGGAUGGAAUUCCUUAUUUUGUGGAUCACAAUAGAAGAACAACCACCUAUAUAGAUCCCCGUACAGGAAAAUCUGCCCUGACGCGGGAUGGAAUGGCCUGACUGUGACUGCCCGGUGUCUGCCGCAAGGCAAGCUGUCCGCAAUGUCAGCUGUGGCUCGGGAAGUGCUUGGCUUCUGCCUUGGGACGCACGGAUGACAGAAAGUCAGGAAGGAAGAGGAAAGAAGGCCGGGACAAGGGCCACUUCUGUCCUCCUCACCCAGAGCCCGACACCACUCUCACGCCGGGGGCCACCCUUCCUCAGGCCGGGCUGGGUCGUCUUUCCUGACAGCAGCACUGGGCCCUGCAGCACUGUCUAAGGACAAAUACUCAUCCUCUGAAGGCGAAGACAGUGCGGAGGAGCCCAGGGGAUGAGGCAGAGGUGAGGUGGGGAGAGCCUGGCUCCAGGACACCCAAGGCAACACUGGCACUGGAUCCCGGCGGGCAGAAGGGACAAGGUCCGGGGAGGCUGGGGCCAGGGGGCUACAUCCUCUUCCUUUUCAGUCUUCUGGAGCAUGAAAUUACAGGAUUUACAGGGAAAACGACAGGGCCUUGCAGUCUCACUGUGGGAAGACGGCGACAGGAACUCUGCGGCCCCAGCUCUCCGCCGUCCGCAUGCAGUACCUGCCAGGGGCCUCCCCCGACACCCACAGUAACUUCUCUUCCCAGUGCACACUUGUGUGCAGGGACCUGCCAGGUACCAUGAUGCAGGAACAGCAGGACUGUGGGGACAGAGGGUAGUACUCGUGUCCUCUCUGCUGGGGAGGUCCCAGUGGGCUCCCUAGAGGGGCAGUGGCAGGAGGGGCCUGGAAGGUCAUCUCGGCCAUCUGCCCACUGCCCAGCCCUGACCUAGAGCCACCUGAAGCUUGCGCUGUGCUGUGUGAGCAGUGGGACUCUGGGCCAAUCCUGGGAUCCAGAGGGACCCCAGCCUGGCGCAGUGCAGGAGCCUGGGUCCCCGUGGCCUAGGGUGCCUCCUCCGGCUUCCUGUAGCCCUGUCUGAGCAGAUCCAUCAUGCUAAUGCACCAAGUGUCAGUGUCUAUGCCGCCUGCCAGCGCUGGGGUUUGAUAAAUCACAGGACUGUCCGCCACCAGCGUGUUGGAGAGCAGGCCUUACCCUCUCACUGCACAGCGAGCCCUCACUCACCACUGGCACGCAAGCCCAAUGCAGCUCCUCGCAAAAACCACUUCUGUCCAGCUGAGCACUGGAGCAGGAGCAAACAUUUGUUCUGUGCUUUUUGGUUCCUUUCUUUCUUUCCUCCCUCCCUCCCUCUCCCCUCUUUUUUUGAGACAGA